GAGGAAGGAAAGGUGCAAGCCCGGAUCCCAGGCAGAGCUGGAGGAAGAAUAGCUCCUUGCUUAAGAAUGUAGUCUCUCUGAGGCCCACAGAUAUUAAGCAUGAUGGAAGCUUGCAUUCUCAACUGUGUGACUGUAAAGAAGUGAUAUGCUAUAGAGUACCAUUUGUAAAAGUAUUGCUCAUACCCUUUUCAAAG